GGGAGGGGGAGGAGAAAAGAGAGACCAAAUGCCUGUAGGAGGAGGAGGGGGAGGGGGAGGAGAAAAGAGAGACCAAAUGCCUGUAUUAUAUAGGGAAGGAAGAACCUCUCAGGGAAGGGCAGCCCAGAAAGUUCAAGGUAUGCCAGGUAAGGACUGAAGGAUGCUGGGAGAACCUGGAGGCCAGGUCAGCUUUAGUAUGUAAGAUAUGCACCUCAAUGCCUUGGCCAGGGUCUGAAACAAAACAAACAGGAUUAAAUAUAAUCAGUGUUAGGUCAAGAGUUGCCAAGGAGCAAGCAUAAGGAAGCAGAGAGGAGAGUCUUUGAGUCGAAGGGUAUUUAAGACAGGGUGGAGAAGAAAAAGCCUUUUCCUUCUGGGAAGUCAGUGGAAUAAGGAGGUCAGUGGGGUGCUUUCUCUGUCUCUCAGGGCUUGCAGGUUUUCACCCAGCAUCUGGCUCCUGAAUCUUCAUUUGUUCCAGGGGAUCUGACACCUUCUUGUCUCCAUGGAUACGAGGCACACAUGUGGGGGACAAAUGCACACGCAGACAAAGCACUAUGCUGUACACACAU
rnacentral:lncRNA from 1 species